rnacentral:lncRNA from 1 species
GCUGCCUUUGUUUGCCAUGGAUGGGUAGGGGCUGCACUGAGCAGCACCGGUGUUCUUCAUCCGGCUGCACCCCCAACAGAGCUCUUUCUUCCCCAGAUCCCUUUUACAGUUGGAUUCUCCCUCUUGGAUCUGGCUCUGCCUUAGUCCGACCUAGAGGGAUCAGCUUCGCCCACGCCCACUCUCACCCGGAACCUUUCAUCUCUUAUUGAAGCCUUUUAGGCCCAUUGGGAUGUUCAUUAGAACUCUGAAAACUACAGUUCUCCCCUUUAUGAGGACUGCACCACAGCUCGCCCUCUCCUGGGUUCCGGUAAGAAGAGAUUCCAAUACCACUCUUUUUUCAGAAUUCAGAAAGGCAAGAGACCACCUUACUGAGCUUCAAACUGGGGCUGGGAACGCUGCCAUGAAUUGGGCUUGGUCUGUCUGAAGGGAGCCACCUUUUCGACAAUCCUUAGACUUCUUUUGCCUGUUGGAAUUACACCUUGGAUCGUGGCGAAGUCUAUAGAGGUCAGAUUAAGAAGAACCAAAGCAGAAUAAACGUAGAACCCGAUGCUGAGUUCACGAGUGAGGACGACCUCUUCCUAUAUGCUUUGCUAUACCCUGCGUUUUGAACAUUAAGGACGAGAUAGGAGGCCCAUAAUGUUUCUUCUUGCUUUAAUCCUGUCGUGGCAACGUUGACUUCCAGUAAGAAAGAAACAAGGUCUCACUGUGUCACCCAGGCUGGAGAGCAGUGGCACGAUCAUAGCUCACUGAUCACAUGGCAGCCUCAAACUCCUGGACUCAGUGGGUCCUCCUGCCUCAGCAUCCUGAGUAGCUGGGACUACAGGUGCGUGCCACCACACCUGGCAAAUUUUGUUAAUUUUUGGUAGAGAUAAGGACUCACUGUGUUGCCCAGGCUGGCUUCAAACUCUUGGCCUCAAGUGAUCCUCCUGCCUCCAUCUCUUCAAAUGCUGGGAUUACAGGUUUGAGCCACCGUGCCUGGCCCCUUUGACCUUUUCUAAAAGAGCCAGCCCACCACUUUCACCUCUCAUGUGUACCAUUUCAGGAAAGAAGCCCUAGUUCCUGUUUCAUAAACUCCAUUUGCAUUAAAUAUGAUUUUAGGCAAAUGGUUUGGGCAGAUAUGUGGCAGGGCUGAUGGAACAGACCUGUGGAGUCAGACCCAGACAAGUCUUGAUCAACUUGUCAUGACUGUGGGAGGCCUUUCACCUCUCUGAGCCUCUGUUUCAUUGUUGGUAACAUGAGAUUGUAUAAAAUGGGGUUGCUGUGAAGGUUAGAUGAAGUAAGAGGUCCUCCUGGCAGUGCCUAAUACAUAAUAAUAAGUGCUUAAUAAAUUGUAAAUGUUAUUACAGUUGAUAGUAUUUAAUUCCUCUAUGAGGAAUUAUGAGUUAAUGUAGCUUGAACCACCAAAAAGGUAAGAAAUCUUUCCUCUUUUAGGAAAACCUCAGUUCAGAAAAGCAAUAAACUAUGGGGGGGGUGGCUGUUUAGAAUGUUGCAUCUCUGGAGAGCAAGUUGCAUUUUAACAAUGAUCAGAGCCUUUAAUUAAGGAGUGAAGGUCAAAUCAUUUCUGCUUCAUCCAGCCUGGUUGCAGAGUGAGCCCAUGGGACAGCCCUCUGAAAUUAUACUGCUUACAACCAUGCUGAGUCUGCAAGGACUUCGUCCAAGCCUUUCCGUCCAGGACCUCAAACAGAUCCAAUCACAAGAAGAGAGAUUUCAGGAAAGAGAAAAUUAUUCCUAUCAUCGGGGUUUUUGAAGAACAUGAAAUGACUGGGAAAAUAAUCAUGUUAAGUGGAAAAAAAAAAGAAAUCUAUCUGUUGUAAUUUUCAAAUAAUUUUUAAAUAAAUUUGAAAAAUUAAGAGAACUAUAUAUAUAAUACAUUCCUAAUCUUGUGAAAAAUAUAUAUGCAUUAAUAUUAUUGAAAGAAAUAUAUCAAAAGGUGAACAGCAAUUAUCACCAAUCUAGAUUAUGAGAUUAGGAGUGAUUUUUUUUCUUUGUCCUAUACUAUUUAAUAUUUUCUACCAUUAAAAUAUUCUGAUUUUCUAAUUAGAAUAGUACGUUAGACAAAGAAGGACAAAUAUCACAUGAACUCUCACUCUCUUAUGGAACAGAUCUUGUGGAAUCUAAAAAAGUUGAACUCAUAGAAAAAGAGGAAAAUGAUGGUUACCAGUUAGAAAAAAGGAAUAAGUUCAAGAGAUCUAU